rnacentral:rRNA from 1 species
UACGUAGGGUGCGAGCGUUGUCCGGAAUUAUUGGGCGUAAAGAGCUCGUAGGCGGCCACUCAAGUCGAAUGUGAAACCUCGAGGCUUAACCUCGAGCCUGCAUUCGAUACUGGGUGGCUAGAGUCUGGUAGGGGGAUCUGGAAUUCCUGGUGUAGCGGUGGAAUGCGCAGAUAUCAGGAGGAACACCGGUGGCGAAGGCGGGAUCCUGGGCCAGUACUGACGCUGAGGAGCGAAAGCGUGGGGAGCAAACAGG